AAUUACAAAGUUUAAAUCUUGUAACUGAAUUAAGCUGAAUUAAGAACUCUAAAUAAAAGAUUUCCCUAAACUCAAAUAAGAUUGGCAAAUAUUCAUAGAAGAAUUUAUAAUUCUUUUGGAUGAACAUGACCCAGGGUUUCCUGAUUGUUAUAGAUGGAAUGUUUUUUUUCCCCGAACUCAACUGUUGAGGCCCUAACUUCCAGUGUGACAGUAUUUGGAGAUGGGCUCUUUGGGAUGUGAUUAGGGUUAGAUUAACUUAUGAGGGUGAGGACCUCCUGAUGGAAUUAAUGACCUUAUUAGAAGAAGAAGAAAUCUUUCUCUUCUUGUCUGUGAAAAAGCAAAGAGGAAAGGCCAGGUGAGGACACAGUAAGUAGGCAGCCAUCUGCAACCCAAGGAAAGAACACUUCCCACCCCCUAGAACUGUGAGAAAAUAAAUUUCUGUUGCUUAAACCACACAGUACGUGGCAUUUUUUUAUGACAGUCCUAGUGUUGCAGGACGUUUCCUUAGUUCAGCUAAAGACAGGGUUCUUGUCUGUCCCAUGGCCAUGAAAAUUUAGGCUUGCAAAUGGUUCGAAGGGUGAAUAAAGCUGGGUUUUAUUGGGUGAAAGGGAAAAAAGGGGGGAUCUGCUAGAGCGCUUCCUGCCAGGCAGUUUGAAUCUCAAUUUCCACCCAGGAAGAGAAGGGGACAGGCUCAGGCUCCUCCCUAUGGCAAAGGUCCUGAAUUUCCCCAGGCUCCACCUCUGUGGGCAGGCUGAUUGGAGUUUCUCCAGGGAACCCUUCCCAUUAGCAGUCUCUGUCUCACUAGCAGUGUAACACACUGACCUAUGUGUGACCUUUAACAACUUGCAGUCAUGUUGGUUAAAAUCCGAAAUGCUAAAUCCUGGAUGACAAAAGCUGGUUAUGUUUUCCUGGAAAGGGAGCUAUAGAAUCCUUCUUCCCACAAUAAAUCUGAGGGUCAAAAAGAAAAAAAAUUUUUAAAGGCUAUAAGAGUAGGUUGAAGUCUCCUAAAAGCCAGACCUGAAACAUUUUCAACAAAAAUUAAUUGGGCCAUAAUUCAGUCAUGCAAACUGAUGAAACUAAAGGAGAUUUUCAGAAUAGACUAGAAAAUACCUUCCAACAUUUGGAAGCUAAAGAAGAUGUUGAUGUAAUAGCUACUCUUUCGUCUCAUUUUGCCAAUGGAGUUAAGCUUGAAAUUGAAGAUCCAAUUUAAAAACUAAUUAGAAUGGAAAUAGCCCCCUUAUCUGCAGUACAAUACCUAGUACAGCAUUUUGAAAGGGCUUUAGAACAAAAAUGAAACAGGUUCUAAAAUAAACUUGUAGCACUACUAAUCCAACAGCUAGGUUACCCAUUUUAUAACAAGUGACUUGUUGACAAGGUCAUGUUUGGAUAUUGUUAACAGGACACAGGAAAGAAGAUUGUCCCAUCUUACAAGAGACAAAAAAAGACAGAAAAAUUCCUAAUUCAGAUCAAUUGAUGUUCUCACAAAAACCAGAAAAGGAAAAAGCAUCCAAUAUUCUGCCUGAUGCUAAACAAUCAGUGAAUACGAUACAAAUAUAGAUGGUCAACUUCAUCAAUUCCUGGUUUGGGUGACAUUUUGAAAAGCCAAGGUUGAGGAGGCAUCAUAUUGUUUUAAAGUCUAACUUCCUCAAAUAUUUGACACACUCACAUUGGAACAGGAAUGAGAAGAUGUCCAUAACUCUAACAUGGUAGAAGAAGGAUACCUAACUCAUCUCUUAGACUUAUGAUAUGCAAGGUUUAAUGCUGUUCUGGACCACAAAAAAAAGAGAUACUGCAAUUGGUCCAUGGCCUGCUGGUUGAUGGUUCCCAUGCUAUUGUACACGAAGGUGCUGCUCAGGAGGAUGGCCAGGGCAAAGAUCCAGGAGUCAUUCUCAUUGUCACCCUGCCCUCAGUGUCGAGCAGAACUAGGGUGUGUCCUGGCUUCUUGGGAUGCGGCUCGCACCACAUCCAGAUUCCUUUGGUGUGAGAUUUCACUGUGGAGCCCAGAGGGAAGCCUGCAAAGGAGAGGAUAAAAUGGAGAAGAGAUUAAUUAGCUGGAUGAUCGCAGUGUGUAUGGACAGGAGGGACUUGGCAAAGCUUUGCUGGUGUCACUUACCCUUGUUCUUCCCAGCCAGCCUGU